UUUUAGUGGUGAAUCCCCCUGUGCGGCGGGGCGUCCGGUAAAGUCAACAUCCCUUUGACGCAAUAUGCACGCGAGGCUUGCUGUCCGGGGCAGCCUCACCGGGAGGCACCCGGCACCACACUCAUUUCUUAUAAUGCUAAAUUUCUAAUCUCAGACUCGCUCAUCCGAACGAGCCUGUUU
rnacentral:sRNA from 1 species